GAAGCUGACCAGACAGUCGCCGUUUCGUCGUCGUCCUUUCGGGGAGACGGGCGGAGGGGAGGAAAGUCCGGGCUCCAUAGGGCAGGGUGCCAGGUAACGCCUGGGGGGGAAACCCACGACCAGUGCAACAGAGAGCAAACCGCCGAUGGCCCACGUAAGUGGGAUCAGGUAAGGGUGAAAGGGUGCGGUAAGAGCGCACCGCGCGGCUGGUAACAGUCCGUGGCACGGUAAACUCCACCCGGAGCAAGGCCAAAUAGGGGUUCAUAAGGUACGGCCCGUACUGAACCCGGGUAGGCUGCUUGAGCCAGUGAGCGAUUGCUGGCCUAGAUGAAUGACUGUCCACGACAGAACCCGGCUUAUCGGUCAGUUUCACUU
rnacentral:RNase_P_RNA from 1 species